AUACUCUGGUUUCUCUUCAGAUCGUAUAAAUCUUUCACCUUUUAUGAAAGAUUUCUGUGGAGAUGAACAUUUUUUAUGAGCGCUUUGUGAAUUUGUGAGGCUUCACUUCCUGGGCUU